rnacentral:rRNA from 1 species
GGUUAAGUCCGCAACGAGCGCAACCCUUGUCCUUAGUUGCCACCAUUCAGUUGGGCACUCUAAGGAGACUGCCGGUGUUAAACCCGGAGGAAGGUGGGGAUGACGUCAAGUCCUCAUGGCCCUUAUAUCCAGGGCUACACACGUGCUACAAUGGCCGGUACAAAGGGUCGCAAUACCGCAAGGUGGAGCUAAUCCCAAAAAGCCGGUCUCAGUUCGGAUUGGAGUCUGCAACUCGACUCCAUGAAGUCGGAAUCGCUAGUAAUCGCGUAUCAGCAUGACGCGGUGAAUACGUUCCCGGGCCUU